GGCUGGGCGCCUGCUUACGCCUAGGUCAGGUUGUAGUUUCCCGGUAGUCCAAAGCCCGCUCUUGCCGUCUGGCCCCCGCUUCCCUCUCUGUGUCCCCAUCCUGCCUCACAGCGCUGAGGUGGUGCCGCGUGCGCGCCAGGUCAGCCAUACUCUGGGGCUGCGGCCCAGGGGGACCGGAAGGUCCAGGCCCCCUUUCCGGUCUCCCCAGCAGCUUAGAGGGCCUGCCUCGUCUUUCGGCCCCCUAGACCCUGUGGAUCAGACGUGGCCAGCGGCUUACUCCACUCCCACGCCUUCCGGGCCCAUGGGUCCGCCGCACCCUCCGGGCCCGCGGCCCAGGGUUUAGUCAGAUUACCUCCGACUCGCCGCCUCUGGGAAGGAGGCGCCUUACGUCAAAAGGAUGCUGAGUCCCGUCAUGACUGGACCACUUAGUGAUCCCCGUCCUGAUCCCUGGGUAGAGAAGUGGGACAGCCCUCCAGGCACAUUUUCCAAAUACUCCUGCCAAAUUCGGGAUCUGAGAUGUCUGUGCAUGAUAUAUAGCAGAGAGCAUGCAAGAUAAUUACAGGGACUUCCCUGGUGGCGCAAUGGUUAAGAAUCCGCCUGCCAAUGCAGGGGACACAGGUUCCAGCCCUGGUCCGGGAAGAUGCCACAUGCCGCGGAGCAACUAAGCCUGUGUACCACAACUACUGAGCCUGCCCUCUAGGGCCCGCGAGCCACAACUACUGAGCCCGCAUGCCACAACUACUGAAUAGAGCCGGCGCUUCGCACCAAGAGAGGCCACCACAAUGAGAAGCCCGCGCACCACAACGAAGAGUAGCCCCCACUCGCCACAACUAGAGAAAGCCCGUGAGCAGCAACGAAGACCCAAUGCAGACAAAAAUAAAUUAAUUAAAUAAAUAAAUUUUAAAAAAUAAAAUAA